GGGGUAAAAUCCGUAGAUAUCACCAAGAAUACCCAUUGCGAAGGCGAUCUGCUGGAACUCAACUGACGCUAAGGCGCGAAAGCGUGGGGAGCAAACAGGAUUAGAUACCCUGGUAGUCCACGCCCUAAACGAUGUACACUAGUUGUUGGGGUGCUAGUCAUCUCAGUAAUGCAGCUAACGCAUUAAGUGUCCCGCCUGGGGAGUACGGUCGCAAGAUUAAAACUCAAAGGAAUAGACGGGGACCCGCACAAGCGGUGGAGCAUGUGGUUUAAUUCGAAGAUACGCGAAGAACCUUACCUGGGCUUGAUAUCCUAAGAACCUUAUAGAGAUAAGAGGGUGCUAGCUUGCUAGAACUUAGAGACAGGUGCUGCACGGCUGUCGUCAGCUCGUGUCGUGAGAUGUUGGGUUAAGUCCCGCAACGAGCGCAACCCACGUAUUUAGUUGCUAACGGUUCGGCCGAGCACUCUAAAUAGACUGCCUUCGUAAGGAGGAGGAAGGUGUGGACGACGUCAAGUCAUCAUGGCCCUUAUGCCCAGGGCGACACACGUGCUACAAUGGCAUAUACAAUGAGACGCAAUACCGCGAGGUGGAGCAAAUCUAUAAAAUAUGUCCCAGUUCGGAUUGUUCUCUGCAACUCGAGAGCAUGAAGCCGGAAUCGCUAGUAAUCGUAGAUCAGCCAUGCUACGGUGAAUACGUUCCCGGGUCUUGUACUCACCGCCCGUCACACCAUGGGAGUUGAUUUCACUCGAAGCCGGAAUACUAAACUAGUUACCGUCCACAGUGGAAUCAGCGACUGGGGUGAAGUCGUAACAAGGUAACCGUAGGAGAACCUGCGGUUG
rnacentral:rRNA from 1 species